rnacentral:tRNA from 1 species
GGGCCUGUAGCUCAAUGGUAGAGCCGGUCGCUCAUAACGAUCUGGUUGCAGGUUCGAGUCCUGCCGGGCCCACCA